GACGAACGCUGGCGGCGUGCUUAACACAUGCAAGUGGAGCGACGAACCAGGCUUCGGCCUGGGGCAAAGCCGCGAACGGGUGAGUAACACGUGGGUAACCUGCCCCAAUGACCGGGACAACUCGGGGAAACCCGAGCUAAUACCGGAUGUGCAUCCCUCACACCAGUGAGGAAUGAAAAGGAAGCUUCGGCCUCCGCAUUGGGAUGGGCCCGCGGCCCAUUAGCUUGUUGGUGAGGUAACGGCUCACCAAGGCCGCGAUGGGUAGCUGGUCUGAGAGGACGAUCAGCCACACUGGGACUGAGACACGGCCCAGACUCCUACGGGAGGCAGCAGUGGGGAAUCUUGCGCAAUGCGCGAAAGCGUGACGCAGCAACGCCGCGUGGGGGAAGACGGCCU
rnacentral:rRNA from 1 species